rnacentral:rRNA from 1 species
GAGUUUGAUCGUGGCUCAGAUUGAACGCUGGCGGCAUGCCUUACACAUGCAAGUCGAACGGCAGCAUGAUCUAGCUUGCUAGAUUGAUGGCGAGUGGCGAACGGGUGAGUAAUACAUCGGAACGUGCCCUGUAGUGGGGGAUAACUAGUCGAAAGAUUAGCUAAUACCGCAUACGACCUGAGGGUGAAAGUGGGGGACCGCAAGGCCUCAUGCUAUAGGAGCGGCCGAUGUCUGAUUAGCUAGUUGGUGGGUAAAGGCCCACCAAGGCGACGAUCAGUAGCUGGUCUGAGAGGACGAUCAGCCACACUGGGACUGAGACACGGCCCAGACUCCUACGGGAGGCAGCAGUGGGGAAUUUGGACAAUGGGCGAAAGCCUGAUCCAGCAAUG